rnacentral:rRNA from 1 species
CCUUUUUGAGUACCUUUCGUUUCCUCGGCAGCCUCGGCUGCCAAUGGGGACCCCAAAAAACACUUUGCAGUACCUGUAACAGUCUGAACAAACAAACAAAAAUUAAAACUUUCAACAACGGAUCUCUUGGUUCUGGCAUCGAUGAAGAACGCAGCGAAAUGCGAUAAGUAGUGUGAAUUGCAGAAUUCAGUGAAUCAUCGAAUCUUUGAACGCACAUUGCGCCCUUUGGUAUUCCUUAGGGCAUGCCUGUUCGAGCGUCAUUUAAACCUUCAAGCUCAGCUUGGUGUUGGGUGACUGUCCGCCGCCCCCGGCGUGGACUCGCCUCAAAAUUAUUGGCGGCCGGUACAUUGGCUUCGAGCGCGGCAGAAACGCGAACUCGGGCCCGUCGUAUUGGCUCCCAGAAGCUAUCUUCACAAUUUUGACCUCGGAUCAGGUAGG